AUUGAACGCUGGCGGCAUGCUUUACACAUGCAAGUCGAACGGUAACAGGCCGCAAGGUGCUGACGAGUGGCGAACGGGUGAGUAAUGCAUCGGAACGUGCCCAGUCGUGGGGGAUAACUACUCGAAAGAGUAGCUAAUACCGCAUACGAUCUAUGGAUGAAAGCGGGGGACCGUAAGGCCUCGCGCGAGUGGAGCGGCCGAUGUCAGAUUAGGUAGUUUGUGGGGUAAAGGCUCACCAAGCCAACGAUCUGUAGCUGGUCUCAGAGGACGACCAGCCACACGGGGACUGAGACACGGCCCAGACUCCUACGGGAGGCAGCAGUGGGGAAUUUUGGACAAUGGGCGCAAGCCUGAUCCAGCAAUGCCGCGUGCAGGAAGAAGGCCUUCGGGUUGUAAACUGCUUUUGUACGGAACGAAACGGCUCUGGUUAAUACCCGGGGCUAAUGACGGUACCGUAAGAAAAAGCACCGGCUAACUACGUG
rnacentral:rRNA from 1 species